UGUUGUUGUCAGUCACUUGUGUCUUCCUUAUUCUCCCUUCCUCUUCCCCACUAGUCGGCCAGUUAGCAGCUUGGGUGGUCGGUCACAUCUCUAAUAUGUACUGACUCCACAAUGUAUCUGUAUUUGCGUUAUUGUUAGUCAAGUGUGGUCUUGAUUGAGCUCGCACUGUCACAACACUGGCAGGUUUUGAUCUCACACCGUAAAACAUUGCCAGAGUUGUGUUUGUGUUUUUAACUUGUGUCUUAUUAAACCUGAGUAGAUCAUCUGCUAGUUCAAGAUGGCAUAUGCUGUAAUAUACUUGAGAGAGGAACUGGUGACUUAGCCCAUAUGGAUACUCUAGUCAGUGAGUACAGCAUUCACUCCAGAUGUGGCUUUCAGAUAAGAGGCUCUUUGAGCAUUGAAGUGUAUCCAACAAAUAGAAUCUUGUGCUGUCAACAAUAACUGAACCAGAGGAGUUAAGGACUGCCAUAAUCAUUAUGUUUCAGGACUGAGCGAUGGAUCAACCCUGUAAAAUGACUGCAGACAAUGAACUAAGCAUGCCCUGAUGCUAGGCUUGGGGGAGGUAAUCUGUGAGAUGCAUCAGCCUAUCACAGGUAUCCCAUGCAGUUAUGUGACAGCAUUAGCCAAUCAAAGUGUUACCCAGGCAGUCUUCCCACCCACACACCGAGCACGUGAGGACCAGGGAGCAUGAUGCAGUCUUUCGUCACUCCUGGGAACCUUUGUCCCCAGGCCUGGAGUAGAAGAGUUUGGAGAGUUUUUCUCAGAAUUUUUCAGGAAAUUGCACUAUAUUUCAUCCUCAGAAUUUGUUCCCAGACCCGGUAUAGAAAAUUUUGGAGAGCUUCCAGAAUUUUUCAGAAUUACACAUUACAGGGGGUCCUUGUUAUCCGAGCUUAAUAGGGACAAGAAUAAAGACUCGGAUAGUGAUUCCAGAUAAAGGGAAAUAAAUUUCCAUAAGAAUGAAUAGGAAUAGCAUCUAAUUGGAACAUCACAUUGUAAAUGACACUCAAAAAGUUUAUUUUGAUAUCUUUAACAUUUAUAUACCUGAGAAACAUUGUUAAACAGUUGAUUACACAUUAUUUUAUGAAAUUAUUUAACAUUAUAACUUAUUUGAGGUACUUAAAGUUAUUUGGGGUCAGUGUGUUGACACGACUUGGCUGUCUAACCAUGCGGUCAGGCAACUGUGCACACAUGUAAUCGCACACUUACUCCAGUGAAAGUGGUUCACUGAGACACAUUACAAAAAUAUUUUUAAAAUAAAUAAUUUUAACAUUUA
rnacentral:misc_RNA from 1 species